CAAAAAUAUCCCCAAAAUAUCCCAAAAUAUUUGGAAUUUAUCUCAGAAAUAUUCUGAAUUUAGCCCAAAAUUAUCCCCAAAAAAUCCUCAAAAAAUCCACCAAAAAAUCUCCAAAAUCUCCCAAAAUAUCCCCAAAAAAUUCCCCAAAAAAAUCCCCAAAAAUUUCCCAAAAAUCUUCCCAAAAACCCCCAAAAAUCCCCAAAAAAUUCCCAAAAAAAUUCCAUAAAAUCCGCCCCCCCCCAAAAAAAAAAAUCUCCCAAAAUAUCCCAAAAAAAUUCCCCAAAAACAUCCCCAAAAACUUCCCAAAAAUCUUCCAAAAAUCCCCCAAAAAUCCCCAAAAAACCCCCUAAAAUUUCCCCAAAAUUCCCCAGAAAAAUCCCCCCCUAAAAAAUAAAAAAAAUCCCCAAAAAAUUCCCCA
rnacentral:lncRNA from 1 species